GGAGGGUCAGCGGUCCUAUCCACUCUUAACCAGCUCAGCCUAAACUAGAAACAGCUGACUCCAAGUUUCUGGAAAACAACUUGGGCAAACGUUUUCCUGUGUAGGUUCUGUGCAGCUUGGAGGACGCACGAGUCUUAAAACGACAGUGAUGAGUGAAAGCAGGAGAGAUGGACUUGCCUCCUCACCCUCGGCUUUCGCGUGGCAGUCUGGAAAUUCAGCUGAGCUGAGCUGGCUUGUCUUUGCUCCACACGACGUCCUCUUUGAGCAGCUAAACCAGAGUGAAAGGGAAGUGGUACCAUCGGCACUGGCAUCUCGAGGUCACAGAAUCACGGAAACUUUCCUAUGCUCCUGUGGGGAUUCUCUAAAGCCUUCUGCUGCCUUAAGGCUCUGUGUCUGAGACUGAGACUGAGAAUUAAACAGAAGACAAUCAGGAGAAAAGCAUAUACGAGCACAAGAGGCCUCAUAAGAAGAAUGAAGACUUGAAGAAGCAGGGACCAUCAGUCUUACAUCCUUGGCUGGCGGACAGAGUGGAUUUUCUGACAGGAGCUGUGUUAUGCACUGGGCAACAUCUACCCUCCCUCACUAACCACUUCUCAUCUGGGCUGUCACUGUAGAAUGUGUGGGAUCCAGAAUCCUUCUAUUAAGAAUACCUUCAGGAGUCUAUGCAGAGACCACAGACAGGAAAUGUUCCUGACAAUCUCUCGUUAUGUGACGCCUUGUCACCUGCUUCACCUCCCCCAACCUGUAUAACUGUUGCAGUUCCAUUCCCUGCAGAAGGAAACAAGAAGGAAGUUCUGUGGAAUUUGAUGGGAAUCGUAUUAAAUCUGUAGAUUACUUUGUCCUCCUCUACUCUGCCGAGUCUCUUGUUUAUGUCUGAAGACAGCUGCUGUGACCCUCAUCUUAAUAUGAGAGCACCACUAGUGCCUCAUCACAUUUCCGGGCCAAUGAGAUUCCUAACCUCCAGUCCUAGAAGAUGCCGGGAAACCCGUGCCCUUUGCCAGCCGCGUGAUUUCAUAAUAACUUGAUGUAGGACCUGGAUUUUUCCUGGAGUGAUCCAGCAAAGCCAAAUGGCUCAGAAUCCUCAGAAAGCUCCCACUGGUCAGAAGAACUUCUAGCUGCUCUGUGCUGCCUUUAUUAUUGGUUAUGGGCCACCUCCGUGGAACUGCUCAGGUCUCCCCAGGUGAAUUUCUCUACAUGCUUUUCAACACCUUCCAUCCACAGAGAAGCCAACCUACUCAAAUCAGAACUUGUCCUCAUUGAGUCAUAUCCAGAGGUGCGGUCCAACAAAGGUGUGGGUUUUACUAAGGAAAAUGUUCCUUCCUCAGAAAGUUGCGUGAAACUAACAUUGAAGGGGACAAAGAACUGAGACUAUAAGAAGACAAAAUGGUGACAGGAGAACUGGCAUGCCUUUUUCUCAGAUAAGGAUGAGCCUGAACGCAACAUAUCCAUGGCUCCAGAAAAAUUCACAGUUCUGAUGGAGAUAAACUUAGAAAGCCUCGAGACAGCCCAGACUCGUCAGCAUCUCACAGUUAAUUAAAGAAGUGAGUGAAGGCAUCAAGGCUUGCUCCCAUCUGCCUGAAUAAUUCACCGCCUGUAUCCAUUAUUAAAACCCGUUACUUCCCCACAAUGAUUCCCCGCUCGAGAUGGAUUGGUCUCAGAACCGAGAGAUAAAUUGUAACAAGGCCUACAGCUAUAUUAAUAAAUUGAAAUGAACAUUUAUUUGCUCA